UACGGGGGGGGUAAGCGUUGUUCGGAAUUACUGGGCGUAAAGGGCUCGUAGGCGGCCAACUAAGUCAUACGUGAAAUCCCUCAGCUUAACUGGGGAACUGCGUGUGAUACUGGAUGGCUUGGAUUUGGGAGAGGGAUGUGGAAUUCCGGGUGUAGUGGUGGAAUGCGUAGAUAUCAGGAGGAACACCGGUGGCGAAGGCGGGUCUCUGGGCCGUAACUGACGCUGAGGAGCGAAAGCAUGGGGAGCGAACAGG
rnacentral:rRNA from 1 species